UUACGAUAUAUGGGUUCUUACGAUAUAAGUAAAAGGAAAAAUAUUCAUUUUGCCUAAUUCUAAGCAGAAUUUAUAAAAGUUGGGCUCCGGUCCAAGUUAGCUUUUUCUUUCUUGUUUUAUAAAAUAUUUUUAUGUUUAAAAAUAAAUAUUUUGCGAAUGAUUUUUUUUUUACUUUUUGCCAAUAUCUAUUCACACAUUGUUGAUGUUAUUAGAAUCAAAAUGUUUUUGAUGAAAUUGGCAUCCAACAAAACCCAAAUGGAAGCACGAAUUGCCACGAAUUUCAUUAGACCGAAAUAUUCCACCACAGAAGAAUUUUAAAAUUUGCUGAUUGCUCUAAAUUAAUACAAGCAAGGAAAUCUAACUUUAUUAAUAUAUAUACAGGAUUAACAAUGGAGGACAAUAUUCUAACUCAAGAAAUGAAAAGACAUGCGGUUAUCGUUGCUUUACACGCAGAGCACAGCGAUCUUGAAAUAAGCACAUUUUUGAAAGUCGCCCGAUCAUUCGUUUAUAAAGUUCGUCAAGAGUUGCAAUCAUCUGGUGGGAAUGUGAAAAGCACUGGAAAGCGUAAAAAGCACGAACAACGUUCAAAUUGUGUGAAAACACCAAAAUUUAUUGAACAAGUUCAGGAUACUGUUGACCUGGACCCUUCCAAGUCCAUGAGGGCCGUCACUUGUGGCCACCUAGCUCACCGGAUCUUAAUCCUUUGGAUUACUACGUAUGGGGCGUACUUGAAAGGGACACCAAUAAGUACCCUCACAACACGGUUGCUUCCCUUCGAACUAGUAUUGCCAAAGCAAUGCCCGAAAUGAAUAAGGAUCAUCUAAUUCGGGCAUGUAAACGUUUCCGAUCGAGAAUUGAAGCUGUAAUUGCAGCGAACGGGGGUUUUAUUGAAUAAUUGUUUAGUUUAAGUAUCAAUUAACUUGCUGUAAAAAUUUGAAUGAAUUACAAUUACUUUUGUUAAAAAUACAAACAAUUUAGUUUUAACA